rnacentral:lncRNA from 1 species
GUCAGCUUCUGCAGGGGGUUCUUCUUACCCUGAGUGUAUGGAGAGUUGAUGACCCCUAGUGGGAGCUGAGAAACCACAUAGCCGCCUGCAACAAGUAAAUGCUGAUAUUUGCAUUGGAGAUGUGGGGAGUUAACACUCUCCACAGGAGAUCUGUUCUUUUGCUUACAGCUUCUUACUUAGGCAACUGAGAAUUGAAGUUUUUGAAAAAUCAAAAAAGAAAUUUAACUUAUUAUGUGAGGUAGGGACAAAGGAAAGUCACCAAGUUCAGGAAGGGCAUAGCCCAGCCUUGCUGUAAGAGGGUGACUUCUGUGCCUGACCAUAGGCUAACACUGGUGACCACGGCCACCUGGGGCAGAGCUGUGAACCCAGAGAAGCAGCUGAACAGGCCAGCAGGCAACCUGCCAUGGGGUCCUGCUCCAAGAACCGGUCCUUCUUCUGGAUGACUGGGCUCCUGGUAUUCAUCAGCCUCCUCCUCAGUGUCUGCAGAACUGCAGCCAACACUUCUGGAGCACAUGGCUCUGCAGGGAAGGAUUCUGGAGCCCCCAUUCAUCUGAAGGGCAUCCGAGGAGGUUCUGUCUUGUUUAAUGCGAUCGAGAAGCUCAGAGUAGAUGUAGGCACCGAGUUGGAGGAGGUUCUAUGGGCUUUGGGCGCUCUGACAAAUCAUACACAGUUGCUGCGAGUCCGCAGGGGGGCCGACUCUCCAACCUGGUUGAAACUCCAGGACAAGUUCAAGCAGAGGGUCCAUGUACCCAGCAUGUCAUCCCUGAGGAUUGAGAACCUGGCCCCUGAAGACAGUGGGCAGUACUUUGCCAACAUCACCUCUACUAAGGGAGAGGGGAUUUUCCAGGUUUUCUACCUCACUGUCUAUGAGCCUGUGCCUCACCCUGAGUUCCUGGCAAAGUCACUGUCUAUCACACCAGACCUGUGUAACGUCACCCUGGAGUGUAGGGCUCCAGGGGCCACAGAAGACCUGAAUGUGACUUGGGAGAGCAAGGGCCUCCUCAGAGAGCUGGAGCAGAGAGAAACACCAGGACCAGCCCCCAACCCCUGGACACUGGCUGUGAACCUGCCCCUGUGCCAGUGCAACACCCACCUCACCUGUGUGGUCAGCAACCAGGUGGAUCAGAAAGCUGCAAUCUUAGACCUUAGGAAAGUCUGUGUCCAAGAAACAGGUUCACACAACAUGGUUAGACUGCUCCCAGGCAUCCUAGGGGCUGUUGUGGGUAUGCUGUUGGUCCUGGGAACUGGGCUGUAUCUUUUGAAGACAUGUGGGAAGAAGAAGAAGAAGAUGAUGAAUAUAGGAAGAGGCAGAGAAUUGCAGGAGAAUCAUGGGGUCGAUGAUGGUGUCAACCAAUAUGAAGAUCUCAGACAGCAAGUGUUUCCGAAGGGCAAGGACAAGGGCAUCGGUGAACAAUAUCUGGAAAAAAGGGAGUCUCUCACUCCUAUCUACAGUGAGGUUCAUUAUCAUUGUCCAGGCCAGGCCAUUAAGAUCAUUCGAUUGGAGGAAGCAACAGGAUCUGGCACUCCCAGGACACCUGUACUCUGAGCCUGAAGCCUGCAGAUCCCCGCCUUUCCCAGUGCUGGUUCAGUUUCCGCUGCCCCUAGUCUGUGUUACUCUGAUCUCAUAGCUACAGUUCUACAGUGUACCCAUGGCCUGUUCGCAUUCUGUGACACCUCCCAAAGAUGCACUUACACUUGGGCAAAGAUUCUUCCCUUGUCAUUGACAUUGCUCCUGACCCCUCUCUUUCAGAAGCCUUCCCAAGGGGACCCUGUCUGAUUGCACAGGUGGCAAAUCCCCACCACCUCUGCCAUGUCACUUGUGUGUGUAAUUCUGAGGACACAAGCCCAGACAUGGGAACUGUGCAGAGGUGUUGACUGUGCUGCAGAGGAGGGACAUAGACCUGGCUUCUGGAUGCUGAGUUGGAGGAUAUCGUGGGUGGGUAGAAGCCCACAAAGGAACACGCUGAGGCUUCCUUUGCAGAUUUUGUGUAGGGCUCCCUUGCGGGUAUCAGGCAGUGCGUGUGUGCAUGCAGGUUGGUGGUGGAGGGGGGUGUCUAGUGCAUAUUAUACAACUGAACCAAAGCCACCUUUCUUUUCUUCUGUGCUAAUCUUAACUUAAUCUUCAGCCUCAGCCUGUGGAUCCAAACUCAACUUCCUGUAGAGUGGAAAGAGAAAUUUUUAUCAUCUCAAAACCUUCCUAGCCUCAGUGUCUCAGAGAAUGACCCUAAGAGGCCACAGUUGGAGGCUGUCUUAGGAACACAGCCUCAGCUCUUUCCUUGGCCUAGUAUAAGGCACUUGGCUGUAAGAACAGAAGUGUGAUAUCCUUCCACACUCACUUGAUGAGGGCUACUUGGGCUCUGAUGGGUGAAGCUGUUGAGAAGGUCUGACUCAGCCCUCUCCAACCUCUUCUUAUUCUGACCCUUAAUACCCCAGUAGCCAUGCUGGCCCCAAACCCUUGGUCAUCCACUUCUUUGCUCACUUGCAUCUCUCUGCCUGACAUGAAAGUUCCUUCUCCCUGUUCCUCACCCUCACUCCCGCCUGUUGAAAUACUACUGUGCUGCUCAAAGCUCUUCCCAAGAUGCUUGUUCCAUGGAGCUCUCUGGAUCUUAAAGGUUUAGACAUGAUCUCUCCCACAACUGACUUUUCUGAACACCUUGGACACUAUGUACGGUCCCUGCCAGUUUGUCCUAGGAUGGUCAUGAGUCUUCCUGCAGGACUAACCUGGGCUCUCUCAGGUGGAUGUGGGGCUGUGGGGUAAUAGGGCUGAGGAGACAAGUACUUAUUGGUGCAAAUGGUCUGGGCCACCUUGUUCCCAACCCAUGGGGUCAGCAGAGGGAGAUGCAGCACAGGGGCUACUGACAAACUCUCUGGUGUGGCUCUACCUGGAAACAGGGAUGGACAUAAUGACCUCCCUUGACUAUGCGUGGCCUGAGGUCCUAAUUGGAGACUUCCUUACUCCCUCAUCCACCUCUUAUUGCGAACCUGGCCAUUCUUCCAUCAUGGUAUGUGGGUGUUUCUUUCCUCCUGAGGGGUCCUCAGCUUCUUGCAGCCUCUGCCUCUUAUUUGAGUCCCAGCUUUUAUGCAGAGAUGAGCUAACUCUAGUACCAUGAGCUGCUGUGGCAUGUCUGGUGGCCUAGAUCCUUGGGCCCCUUAGUUUCCCUCAUGGCUCAGGUGAGCUCAUUUCCUCAUUGCCACCCACAGAAAACAAAGAUCUGAACAGAGUCCCUGCUAAGAGAUGGAGCACUAGAAAAUAGUGCUAGGUGCCUGCUGAAUGGUGGGUGGGUGAGGCAAGAGGGAGAGGAUCCAUAGCAGGGCUUCAUUUCUGCCAUCUUCCCCUUUAGACUGAGCUGAAGGCCGAGGGUGUGCUGGUCUCUUCACUGGCUUCCCAGGUGACUGGACAUUACUGGGUAUCAGUGCACAUUAACCCUGGGGCAGCAUAAGAUGUGAUCACCCAACUGACGUUCCCACUGCACCAAAGGCAACAAAAAACCAAACCAAACAAACCAAAAAGAGGAACAAGGCUUUUGAGGCUGUUUUGAACCAGUUUUUGUCCCAGGCACUUUGCACAUAUUAUUCUUUUUAAUUCUUCUUUAAAUACAUUUUUAAUUUUAAAAUACUAAAUGUUUUACUCUUCUUGUUUAUGAUUUCUUCCAAUGAUAUCAAACUUAAAAGUCCUCUGCAUUCAAAGGACCCAAUAAGUUUUUAUUUAUAUUUUCUUCUGUUGAAAACAUUACAUUAUAAAUACACAUUUUACUCUGAUAUUCCUUUUAAUUGUUAUAAGAACCUACUAUAGUUGGUAUAGGUCAACAGUAUUCAAAACUAGUUGGUGGCAGAGCAAAGCCUUAGAUCCAACACUGGAUGAUUCCAAAGCUCCUUAUCUUUUCCCCUCAUGACAACGGUCACUGAAGACCCUUGCUAUGGUUUGGAUGUUUCCUGUUGGAACUUAAUCCCCAAUGCAAAAGCAUGAAGAAGAGCCGGCUUUUAGGAGGUAAUUAGGUCCCAAGAAUGGAAUUGGUACUCUUAAAAUGGCUUGAGGACAGUGUCACCCCUUUUGCCCUUCUGUCACUUCAACCAUGUGAGGGCACAGUGUUCCUCCUUCCACCAUGUGAGAAUACAGUGUUCCCCACUUCCACCAUGUGAGGACACAGUGUUCCUGCCUUGGAUCAUGUGAAGACAUUGUGCUUCCCCCUUCCACCAUAUAAGGACAUGAUGUUCCUGCCUUUCACCAGGUGAGGACACAGUGUUGCUCCCUUCCACCAUGUGAGAACAUAGUCUACCCCCUUUCUCCAUAUGAGGACACGGUGUUCCCCACUUCCAACAUAUGAGGACAUGGUGUUUCUCCUUCCAUUAUGUAAGGACAUAGUGUUCCUUGCUUCCACUACGUAAUGACACAGUAUUGCCCCUUCCACCAUGUGAGGACACAGUAUUGCCCCUUCCACCAUGUGAGAACAUGGUGUUCCUGCUUUCCAUCAUGUGAGGACACAGUAUUGCCCCUUCCACCAUGUGAGGACACAGUGUUGCCUGCUUCCAUAAUGUGAGGACAUGGUGUUCCCACCUUCCAUCAUGUGCGGACAUACUGUUCUCCCCUUUCACCACUGAGUGCAGUGUUUCCCUCUCUGCUAUGUGAUGAUAUCACAAUAAGAUGCCAUCUAUGGAGCUGAAGGUGAGAUGAAGAGACCCUGAAUCUGCCUUACCAGAUCCUGAAUCUGCCUUACCAGAUCCUGAAUCUACUGGUGCCUUGAUAUUAGACUUCUCAGCCUCCAGACUGUGAGAAAUAAAUUUCUAUUAUAUACAAAUUGCCCAGUGAUUUAUACAUCUAAGGUAUUUUAUUAUAGUAGCCAAAC